GAUGAACGCUGGCGGCGUGCUUAACACAUGCAAGUCGAACGGAAAGGCCCUGCUUUUGUGGGGUGCUCGAGUGGCGAACGGGCGAGUAACACGUGAGUAACCUGCCCUUGACUUUGGGAUAACUUCAGGAAACUGGGGCUAAUACCGGAUAGGAGCUCCUGCUGCAUGGUGGGGGUUGGAAAGUUUCGGCGGUUGGGGAUGGACUCGCGGCUUAUCAGCUUGUUGAUGGGGUAGUGGCUUACCAAGGCUUUGACGGGUAGCCGGCCUGAGAGGGUGACCGGCCACAUUGGGACUGAGAUACGGCCCAGACUCCUACGGGAGGCAGCAGUGGGGAAUAUUGCACAAUGGGCGGAAGCCUGAUGCAGCAACGCCGCGUGCGGGAUGACGGCCUUCGGGUUGUAAACCGCUUUCGCCUGUGACGAAGCGUGAGUGACGGUAAUGGGUAAAGAAGCACCGGCUAACUACGUG
rnacentral:rRNA from 1 species